rnacentral:lncRNA from 1 species
CCACUACCAUUUUGCACUAAAGUACAAGUGCAGAUUAAGUGAGUUAUUCAGUUGGUUGCAACAGCAUACCACUACAGGGGUAGCUGGUCUUCUAAACAGAGCUUGGGAUAUUACUUUACUUACAUUUUUUUUUUUUUUUGAAACAGGGUCUCACUCUGUCACCUAGGCUGCAGUGCAGUGGUACAAUCACAGUUCACUGCAGCCUUGACCUCUUGGGCUCAAGCAAUCUUCCUGCCUUAGCCUCCUGAGUAGCUGGGACUACAGGUGAGCC